rnacentral:rRNA from 1 species
UACGUAGGGUGCAAGCGUUAAUCGGAAUUACUGGGCGUAAAGCGUGCGCAGGCGGUUUUGUAAGUUUGUCGUGAAAGCCCCGGGCUCAACCUGGGAAUUGCGAUGAAGACUGCAAGGCUUGAAUCUGGCAGAGGGGGGUAGAAUUCCACGUGUAGCAGUGAAAUGCGUAGAGAUGUGGAGGAACACCGAUGGCGAAGGCAGCCCCCUGGGCUAGCACUGACGCUCAGGCACGAAAGCGUGGGGAGCAAACAGG